AAGUCAGUGGAAAUAGAUUUUAAGAUCCUUUUACAAGUGGUUCAGAGAAGUCUUGUGUCUGCUAGCUUCGCUUCAAUGGCUGCAAUUGGAGCUUAGAAAACCUGCCUGACAAAUUCAGGGGUCUCCUCUAAGGUGAACUUAAAGGAAAAUUGAGUAAAAUUCUCCUUGUUUUCUCAAAGGAUUCAUGUUCUCUGUGCACACAUAGGAGUUGGCAUCAGUGGCCAGGAAGAAAUGGAAGCUGUUUUGGCCAGGGACUGUUUGCCCACUUCAGACACCUCCAGAGGCUCUCGCAGAUUGAUGGCAGUCUUUCUUGUUUGAGAAUGUGUAAGUUCUUGUGUUAUUUCUUCUAUAAAAACUUUGCAUUCAUACUGCUGCAUUUCAGGUUUGUCUUCUGUGGCUUCUUUACUCAGGUCUGUUUCUAUUUUAUAUGUUUGUAAAUGAACAAAGCAGUGACUUGUACUCUAGAUACCUGAAAGUAGAAGUAUUGAAAGUCAGAAGAAUGAAUUAGGCAAUCUAAAUAUUUGAAUGCAAUUGUUUGGGAGUUAGAAUGAAAUAAUUAUGGUUUCUUUUUCUGUUUUGAAAACAUGAAUGUGUACCAGUUGCUACACUUAAUGAUGCCCUUCAUUUUCCAAGGUGAAGGCAUACCAUUUUUAUAUGGUAGACACUUCUACCUUAGAAGGAAGAGAGAAGCCAUAUGUUUUGCUUUAAGGGUAUGGUAAAUCCCAGAGUUUGUCUGUGUGGUUGUAAGGAGUGUGUAGAUAGCCAUGAUGAAACAACCGCCCUUAACUAGACUGCAUCCACUACAUCUGCAAUAGAUGUCUAGUAAGCAAUUUUACUAAGGUGAAGAGCUGUCUUGGAAUUUCAUGCUUUUUU